CUCAGGCCAUUCAAUCAAUUUCCUAAUGAAACGUACAGUUUCUCAUAUUGUCAUCAAACUACUUAAAUUGGACGAACUACGCCAUCCUGGAUAUCCUCACUUCCAUUACUAAACUUUGAGGACUAUAACGACGUGUUUUAUCUUCAUUGAAAAGUAGCAUAAAACUUAUACUCCAAAAAGAAAAGAACAACAGACUCACACUCGC
rnacentral:lncRNA from 1 species